CGUGAAUUGCAUUGACAUUGCUACGUGUAAAAGCUGUAGCUGCUUAUUUAUUGCUGGCUCAUAACGCGCACAUAUCCCCGAUACAAUCUCGGGGCCGGACGCGGGGAAAAAGCUGCAUGUGCCCGAUACAGUUACGUGGAGGAAGGCUCUACGUGCUUACGCCUGAGCGAAGCGGCAGUGGGUAUGUGGUGCACGUUAUUCCUGCCCCGAGAUUGUACGUCCCAAAAGUAUUGUGCGCGAAAAUGUGAGACGUGAAGCGAAACACUGGAAUAACUUUUACCGGCGUGAAAGUUGCCCGUAUGUUGCAAAGAUCUUGACCUUGAAGACGACACCUAUCGAUCGAAUGAGGGGCACAGACAGCGGGACUGUUACGAACAUCCACAUGUGAUAGAGCUUAGAUUCUAAUAAUGCGAGAUAUGAGCGGGAUGCUAUACGACGUAACACUCGGAGGAUUCCGUGAAUAUGAGCUUGAUCCUUUUCCGAAUACACAAACAUCUCAAGCGGGGUCUUUGAAAACGGGGUCGAAGAUAAAGUCCCGUCGGCGCUCCUGAAAUAUUUUCACCGUCGAUUACAUUCAAAAAGACCGAUGGAUGUUUACGGACGUGACGUUUUGCAAAGCGGUGUGCGUGUAGCGAUUUCUCAUAUUUCCAGUUUCCCCGCGCCGAUAGCGUUUGCUGCUUUCAUGUAAUCACACACGUGUUGAAAGACGAUGUAUGCGAUAUGACAGUUCGGAAAAUAUUCAUUUUAUCUUCUUCCAUCGCGAGACGAUGAGGUUGUUUGACACCGGACUGUCAAUAAGUGCAGCCUUAAUCAUAAAUAUAUAAAGCACCUUUUUUCCCCUCUCAUAUUAAAUGUAAACGUUCUAUGUUU